CCAUCUGAUCGGGACUCAUGAUAGUGAGACUGUAUCAUGCAUUAACUGCACCUAGAGAUUCAUCUUUUAUUUUGCUGGAUUACCACUACAUACUGCUAGGUAUCACUGGUGGAUCGUGAGACUCAUGAGGAUCACUUGAUCAAUGAUCCUUGGUGGGUUGAGUUGAAAUUAUUCCAAUCUAUUGAAAAGAGUUUCAAUGAUAUUGUGAUUAAGAUCAUAAUAUAUCUCACUAUCA
rnacentral:lncRNA from 1 species